GAGCUGGUGGCGCACUUGGGCAAGUUCUUGGUGGGCUCACGUGUACUCUUAAGAAAGGAUACGCCUGAAAAAGCCCGCUCACCAGCGGGCUUUUUUUU
rnacentral:sRNA from 1 species